GACGAACGCUGGCGGCGUGCUUAACACAUGCAAGUCGAACGGAGCUAUUUAUUUCGGUAGAUAGCUUAGUGGCAAACGGGUGAGUAACGCGUAGGCAACCUGCCCUCAGGAUGGGGACAACGGCUCGAAAGAGCCGCUAAUACCGAAUGACGUAACUCUUCCACAUGGAAGAGAUACUAAAGAUGGGUCAAACCAUCGCCUAAGGAUGGGCCUGCGUCUGAUUAGCCAGUUGGUGAGGUAACGGCUCACCAAAGCGACGAUCAGUAGCCGGUCUGAGAGGAUGAACGGCCACAAUGGGACUGAGACACGGCCCAUACUCCUACGGGAGGCAGCAGUGGGGAAUCUUCCGCAAUGGGCGAAAGCCUGACGGAGCAACGCCGCGUGAGUGAAGAAGGUCUUCGGAUCGUAAAGCUCUGUUGUCGGGGACGAAAGAGUAGACGAGGAAAUGCGUCUACUAAGACGGUACCCGACGAG
rnacentral:rRNA from 1 species